rnacentral:lncRNA from 1 species
UGAGUGCAGCCCUGCCAGCCCCUACCUCUGACGCUCUGGAGUUGGGGGUGGGGGAUCUAACUACCCAAACCUCCCCAGGAAGGCCGCAUCCAGGCGCAGGGAUGACCCAGCACUUACUAUCUACUCACACCCACAUUAAGGUUUCCCUUUGCCCACAAAGAGGGAUGCAGUAACAUGUCAGAUGGUGGUUUGCAUCCCUUUUUUUUGAGAUGGAGUCUCGCUCUGUCUCCUAGGCUGCCGUGCGGUGGUGCAAUUUCAGCUCACUGCAACCUCCGCCUCCCAGGUUCAAGCGAUCUCCUGCCUCAGCCUCCCAAGUAGCUGGGACUAUGGGCGUCUACCACCAUGCCCCGCUACUUUUUUUUGUAUUCUUUUAGUAGAGAUGGGGUUUUGCUAUGUUGGCCAGGCUGGUCUCGAACUCCUGACCUCUGGUGAUUUGCCUGCCUUGGCCUCCCAAAGUGCUGGGAUUACAGGCAUGAGCCACUGCGCCCAGCCUCCCUUGUUGUGUUUCUGACCCCUGGCUGCAGCCUAAUGGGCCGACUGCUGGACAGCGGUCCUGAGUCCUGUUUGAAUUGGUGC